GACGAACGCUGGCGGCGUGCUUAACACAUGCAAGUCGAACGGAAAGGCCCUGCUUGCAGGGUACUCGAGUGGCGAACGGGUGAGUAACACGUGGGUGAUCUGCCCUCCACUUCGGGAUAAGCCUGGUAAACUGGGUCUAAUACCGGAUAGGAGCCAUUCUUAGUGUGAUGGUUGGAAAGUUUUUUCGGUGUAGGAUGAGCUCGCGGCCUAUCAGCUUGUUGGUGGGGUAAUGGCCUACCAAGGCGGCGACGGGUAGCCGGCCUGAGGGGGUGGACGGCCAAAAUGGGGACGGGAAACGGGCCAGAAUCCUACGGGGGGCAGGAGGGGGGAAUAUUGGACAAAGGGCGGGAGCCUGAUGGAGCGACGCCGGGUGGGGGAAGACGGCCUUCGGGUUGUAAACUCCUUUCGGUAGGGAAGGAGCUUUUUGUGACGGUAACGAGAUAAGAAGCACCGGCUAACUACGUG
rnacentral:rRNA from 1 species